AAUGUUACAAAAAUUACAUAGCAUAAUGUUUAAAACAUUAAAUAGUAAUAAGGUUUUCUUUGCACAGUUAUCAAUAAAAAAUCAAAGAAAAUAUCAAGGCCGUUCGAUGUGAUCACAUUACGCUACACAAUAGAAAUUAAGAAAAAUAAAAAUUCGAUGGGGUGAUUGACAUACCGUGCAAGCACGGCCCUGGUUUUGGCCACUCAGUAAGUAGUUGAAGUGAUAUUUUGGUCGAGCUGGGACAGUGGGAUGGGAUAUGAUUGCCUUCUCGUAUUGCCGUGGCUUGAGACAUGGACUCUCGGAAGAAAAGAGGAAGAGAGACCGAGCAAAAUGAUCCGAGAGGCUCCGAGGUGUUGGAAAGGCACGAUGAAAGACAUAUGAGGAUUCCAGCGGCGAGAUAGGAUAUGCCUGCCGACUCUCUCUCUAUGUUACAGCGAAAAUCUUUUGAGAUUCACUUUAUACGUAUUACUUUUCUUUUGUCUGCUUUUUUUCGUAAAAUUGGCAAGUAUUGGACUGUGGCGAAAGAAUUCUGUAAAAACAUUGAUUCAUUCACUCGUUUGAUUGUGAUUUUAUGUCAAUUUUUUUUUUUUUUUUAUAAAAAAUGCUACAACUAAAAAUAUAUCAAUAGUGAAUAAAAUAAAUUAAUGUCAACAAAAUUUAACAUAAAGUUCAAGUGAAGGAUUGAAAUUCUUGAAACUUUAUAGAGCACGUGGUUCUUCGUGUCAACUUCGGGUGUAAGAAAGACGUCCUUCUAUUUACGACAUAAGGAAAUAAUAUAUAUGCGAGGAAAAUAGAAAAAAUAGGAACGUUUGCCAUUUUGGCUCAAACAUAAAUUUAUGAUCAAACCCAAUUUUAAAUCAUAUUUGUUCCAAGUUACUUGUCGUCGUGCAAUUAAGGAGGAUGAGUCGACAACCGAUUUAAAUUCAAUACUUAAAUAAAAGUCGAGUUACUUAUGGCGCAAAAGAAGAGUGGUGAUGACGAAGAAAUUUAAGAAGUAGACAGAGACGAAGGUUGCAGACGUAAAGCAUAAACAGUCGAGGUGCGAUUUGACGCACGCUCGGGCCAUCCAAGGCACAUCUCGCUCGCUGAACGUACGCUUUAAGAAUCCCGAAGAAGCGACCAGCCCGAUGGCUGGAAUCUGUAAAUCUGUCAUUGCAGCCAUAUUCGUGUGGCUGGUACCGCAGGAUAUGAAC